rnacentral:tRNA from 1 species
GCUGGAUUAGUCUAGAGGUUAGGACUCCUCGUUGUGGCCGAGGCGACCCCGGUUCAAAUCCGGGAUCUAGCA